rnacentral:rRNA from 1 species
AUUGAACGCUGGCGGCAGGCCUAACACAUGCAAGUCGAGCGAGUGGCGGACGGGUGAGUAAUGUCUGGGAAACUGCCUGAUGGAUGGGGAUAACUACUGGAAACGGUAGCUAAUACCGCAUACCAUCAGAUGUUCCCAGAUGGUAUUAGCUUGUUGGUGGGUUAACGGCUCACCAAGGCGACCAUCCCUAGCUGGUCUGUGAGGAUGACCAGCCACACUGGAACUGAGCAACGGGCAAGACUCCUACGGGCGGAAGCAGUGGGGAAUAUUGCACAAUGGGCGCAAGCCUGAUGCAGCCAUGCCGCGUGUAUGAAGAAGGCCUUCGGGUUGUAAAGUACUUUCAGCGGGGAGGCGUUACCCGCAGAAGAAGCACCGGCUAACUCCGUGCCAGCAGCCGCGGUAAUAC